rnacentral:lncRNA from 1 species
GAGUUACAAGACCUAGUGGACCGGAAGAGUCACAGUCCUCAGGGCACCCCGGGAGUCCACAGCUGGCAUCGAGCAUGGCCACACUUGUACGACAGCGUCUUACUGACAAUACCAGCACAUUCAGGCUUCAGAAAGGGCUAGGGAAGCCAGCCGCAGAGGACAGCUCACAGCAGGACAACCCUGUGCUUGGUCCUCUGUUGGAGACUCUGCCUCCCCUAGAAUGGAUGUCCCGCCCUCUGCACGCUCAACAGUACACUCCCACGGUGCGUGGUGUGCUGUGUGUGGGUGUGCUCUGGUGCCAGACAGGGUGUAGGGGAGAGAUCUGGCAUCCUGUCUUUUGAGAGGAACCUCCUGAUACAACUCGUCCACUUGCUUGUCUGUGAGGCAGUCACCAUGGGGGGCUUCCUAGAGAAAACCUGAAGUCGAGGCUGCCUCAUCGGAGUGUUAUGGAUCACAUGUUUGGGGGCCCUGCCAUUCAGCAGCUCCCCAAAUGCAGGGAGCAGCAUGGUGAAGUUGAUGGGCCCUGGGGCCUCAGUCAGCUCAUCCUCCAGCUGUUCACCAUGGGCUUCUCCCCUGACGAGGCCAGCACGUGGUGCAGGUCUGCUUGGUCAGUGAAGCCAUCACAGCUCUGGGCAAACCCAUGGAAGCCCUUCUUAAACUCCCGGGUUGCCGCUGGUCAAACAUCAUGAAGACAUUGGAUGUGGCCCGCUGUGGCCACUUCCUGGUGGUCUGGCCUUGGCCUGCCUGCCGGACAGCUUGGCUUCAGGUGAGUGGGUCUUCCAUAGUGCAGAGAAGGUGCUGGUUGAGUGUGUGGGCUGG